GGUUAUAGCUCAGCGGUAGAGUGCUCGCCUUGCAUGUGCAAGACCCUGGGUUCGAUCCUCAGCACCA
rnacentral:tRNA from 1 species